rnacentral:rRNA from 1 species
AGAGUUUGAUCCUGGCUCAGGAUGAACGCUAGCGGCAGGCCUAACACAUGCAAGUCGAGGGGUAGAGUUUCUUCGGAGACUUGAGACCGGCGCACGGGUGCGUAACGCGUAUGCAAUCUGCCCUUUACUGGGGAAUAGCCCGGAGAAAUUCGGAUUAAUGCCCCAUAUGCCCACGGGAUCGCAUGGUUCAGUGGGGAAAGUUCCGACGGUAAAGGAUGAGCAUGCGUCCCAUUAGCUAGUUGGUGAGGUAACGGCUCACCAAGGCGACGAUGGGUAGGGGGCCUGAGAGGGUGAUCCCCCACACUGGUACUGAGACACGGACCAGACUCCUACGGGAGGCAGCAGUGAGGAAUAUUGGGCAAUGGAGGCAACUCUGACCCAGCCAUGCCGCGUGCAGGAAGACGGCCCUCUGGGUUGUAAACUGCUUUUGUUUGGGAAUAAACCCUUCUACGUGUAGGAGGCUGAAGGUACCUUACGAAUAAGCAUCGGCUAACUCCGUGCCAGCAGCCGCGGUAAUACGGAGGAUGCAAGCGUUAUCCGGAUUUAUUGGGUUUAAAGGGUCCGUAGGCGGGUCUUUAAGUCAGUGGUGAAAGCCCACAGCUCAACUGUGGAACUGCCAUUGAUACUGGAGAUCUUGAGUGUAGUAGAAGUAGGCGGAAUAGGGCAUGUAGCGGUGAAAUGCAUAGAUAUGCCCUAGAACACCGAUUGCGAAGGCAGCUUACUAUGUUACAACUGACGCUGAGGGACGAAAGCGUGGGGAGCAAACAGGAUUAGAUACCCUGGUAGUCCACGCUGUAAACGAUGAUUACUCGCUGUUGGCGACAUACAGUCAGCGGCC